rnacentral:rRNA from 1 species
UCUUAUGAGUUAGCGGCGGACGGGUGAGUAACACGUGGGUAACCUGCCCAUAAGACUGGGAUAACUCCGGGAAACCGGGGCUAAUACCGGAUAACAUUUUGAACCGCAUGGUUCGAAAUUGAAAGGCGGCUUCGGCUGUCACUUAUGGAUGGACCCGCGUCGCAUUAGCUAGUUGGUGAGGUAACGGCUCACCAAGGCAACGAUGCGUAGCCGACCUGAGAGGGUGAUCGGCCACACUGGGACUGAGACACGGCCCAGACUCCUACGGGAGGCAGCAGUAGGGAAUCUUCCGCAAUGGACGAAAGUCUGACGGAGCAACGCCGCGUGAGUGAUGAAGGCUUUCGGGUCGUAAAACUCUGUUGUUAGGGAAGAACAAGUGCUAGUUGAAUAAGCUGGCACCUUGACGGUACCUAACCAGAAAGCCACGGCUAACUACGUGCCAGCAGCCGCGGUAAUACGUAGGUGGCAAGCGUUAUCCGGAAUUAUUGGGCGUAAAGCGCGCGCAGGUGGUUUCUUAAGUCUGAUGUGAAAGCCCACGGCUCAACCGUGGAGGGUCAUUGGAAACUGGGAGACUUGAGUGCAGAAGAGGAAAGUGGAAUUCCAUGUGUAGCGGUGAAAUGCGUAGAGAUAUGGAGGAACACCAGUGGCGAAGGCGACUUUCUGGUCUGUAACUGACACUGAGGCGCGAAAGCGUGGGGAGCAAACAGAUUAGAUACCCUGGUAGUCCACGCCGUAACGAUGAG